rnacentral:rRNA from 1 species
ACGUAGGGAACGAGCGUUGUCAGGAAUUACUGGGCAUAAAGGGUGCGUAGGUGACUUGGCAAGUCAGAUGUGAAAUCCCCGGGCUUAACUCGGGUGCUGCAUUUGAAACUGCUGAGCUUGAGUGCAGGAGAGGAAAGCGGAAUUCCUAGUGUAGCGGUGAAAUGCGUAGAUAUUAGGAGGAACACCAGUGGCGAAGGCGGCUUUCUGGACUGUUACUGACACUGAGGCACGAAAGCGUGGGGAGCAAACAG